UACAAUCACUUAAGUGUGACUUUUGUGGAGGAGGACAUGAAAACGAAAUGUGUUCGUUGGCAGAGGUAAGUGAAGAGGCCCAAUUUGAAAUUUCUCAGAAGAACAAACCCUAUUCAUAUACCUACAAUCAGGGAUGGAAGGAUCAUCCGAAUUUUCGUUAGAAAAAUAAAAAAAAACCAAAGUGGUACCCAAGCUAUGCAACAAAACUAACAAGUUUCUAACUUUCAAAUGAGGCAAUCUUU
rnacentral:lncRNA from 1 species